rnacentral:sRNA from 1 species
GGUAUAAUAAGGACAAGUUGACGAAUAAAAAA